UACGUAGGUGGCAAGCGUUGUCCGGAAUUAUUGGGCGUAAAGCGCGCGCAGGUGGUUUCUUAAGUCUGAUGUGAAAGCCCACGGCUCAACCGUGGAGGGUCAUUGGAAACUGGGGAACUUGAGUGCAGGAGAGAAGAGUGGAAUUCCACGUGUAGCGGUGAAAUGCGUAGAGAUGUGGAGGAACACCAGCGGCGAAGGCGGCCAUCUGGACAGAUAUUGACGCUGAGGUGCGAAAGCGUGGGGAGCAAACAGG
rnacentral:rRNA from 1 species